GGAAACCCAGAGCCUUCCACGCCAGUGCAGCCAUCGCUACAGGGACAGAAGACACCGGCCCAGCAUGUGCCGUGGGGUGGGCAGCUCCUGGGCAGGAAGCUCUGUGCUUUCCUAGGCGUGGUGCUUUCAACAUCUUUCCUCCCCUGCGAAAGUAUCUGAACAGGGCUGCUGCCUCCCUGCUCCCAUCUCAGCGCCACGCAGGGUUUUAAGCUACAGGUGCUACCAACAGAAACCAACGCAGAGGGCAUGGCAUGCACAGAGGAAAGGCUCACUUUCAAUGAUGGCUCUCUGUAGCGUCUGGAUCUGGUUCUGGAAAAUGGACUGCAAAAGCUGAGGGAGAACACCUUCAAAAGAGAGAGAUCUGCUGAUAGUCAUCACCACUUCCUGACUUAACGGCAAGCCCUGCAAUGGAGACCCAUUCCACUUCUUCACUAGGCAACAGACAUCCCACAUCACCAACCCUUCUGGCCGACGCAUCCCCCUUUUUGCAAGUCAAC